rnacentral:rRNA from 1 species
UACAGAGGUCUCAAGCGUUGUUCGGAUUCAUUGGGCGUAAAGGGUGCGUAGGCGGCGCGGUAAGUCGGGUGUGAAAUCUCGGAGCUUAACUCCGAAACUGCAUUCGAUACUGCCGUGCUUGAGGACUGGAGAGGAGACUGGAAUUUACGGUGUAGCGGUGAAAUGCGUAGAUAUCGGGAGGAACACCUGUGGCGAAAGCGGCGCACUGGACCAUAACUGACGCUGAUGCGCGAAAGCUAGGGGAGCAAACAGG